GAUGAACGCUGGCGGCGUGCCUAAUACAUGCAAGUCGAGCGAACAGACGAGGAGCUUGCUCCUCUGACGUUAGCGGCGGACGGGUGAGUAACACGUGGAUAACCUACCUAUAAGACUGGGAUAACUUCGGGAAACCGGAGCUAAUACCGGAUAAUAUAUUGAACCGCAUGGUUCAAUAGUGAAAGACGGUUUUGCUGUCACUUAUAGAUGGAUCCGCGCCGCAUUAGCUAGUUGGUAAGGUAACGGCUUACCAAGGCAACGAUGCGUAGCCGACCUGAGAGGGGGAUCGGCCACACUGGAACUGGGCCACGGUCCAGACUCCUACGGGAGGCAGCAGUAGGGAAUCUUCCGCAGUGGGCGAAAGCUUGACGGAGCAACGCCGCGUGAGUGAUGAAGGUCUUCGGAUCGUAAAACUCUGUUAUUAGGGAAGAACAAAUGUGUAAGUAACUAUGCACGUCUUGACGGUACCUAAUCAGAAAGCCACGGCUAACUACGUG
rnacentral:rRNA from 1 species